GUCUUUCUAGUAUAAAAUAAGUAUAAGUGACUUCCAAUCACUUGGCCUUGGUUAAACUCCAAGGAAAGAUA
rnacentral:tRNA from 1 species